CAAGCCAGAACUCAGACCGGCAAAGAAGCAAGGCACCGUCAGACAGAGCUGGGCCUUGGCUUUUACGCCCGGCACUGCGGACACGUCGUGCAAACGCGGAUUUCAAACUAAGAAAAGGAGACAGAAAGAUGGACAAAGACGAAGUUGGCGAAGGACACGUCUCAGAUCCGCACGUAGAGCGAGCAGUCAGACAUCGAAGGGAUGGUGGCCUCCCAUUCUCUGCUCACCUGGUAGCCACCGAGUUUGAAGAAAAUACGAACAGGUGAAUGAAAGCUGCCAGCAAACAGCAAAAACGCUGCAGCGGCCCCCACGUCUCAGCGGGGAGAUGGCCGGGAGAGCGAGCACGCAUGAAGCCGACACGCAUCGGUGUCCAGCGCGUGGCGGUCAGACCCACGCAGCACACAAUGCAACACGCAUCUGGUCACAAUACAGGCCCGGCUUUAAGUACCUGUGGUAACUCUCACGCACGUCACGUUUGAGAACUAAGCCAAACUUGGAAAGAAACAAAGUCAUCGUGCAGGUGACUGAAGAGUGAGGUAAACCGGGAGGGAGGGUCUCUGCCGACGGGACGGACUCCGUCCCAUGGUAGCGAGGAAGGCUUCCCAGCAGUGCUGCCACUGGCGAGGGCACACCACCGGCCGGGGCCAUUCUGAAACGUGGGGUGCAUUCCCGGGUCAUCACACGAUCAGGAAGCCCCACUGGCAGUCCCAGGUAAGGAGUAAGGGUUCUAUGACCCUCGUCCUGACAUCCGGUGGGUGAAACCCCAGUGAUAGUGGCAGUUUUCAGGGACAAGAGAACUUCCAGGAACUUGAGUCCCAUGUAAACCUAGAGGCGGUCAGAACCCACCCACGGCUGUCCCAGGAGGGUGUGACAGCCCCGAGGGUGAGCUGCGUGGGGCGCACAGCUCCCGACGGCAGGUCACAUUCUAAGCUGUCGCAUUCCCAGCAGCAGCACGGGUGGCCUUACCGCCCCCGGGAGCAGGGCGGUCUCAGCGCGCAGACCGAAAUGCCACUGCAUCGUACAGGCCUCUCCUUGUACUUCCGUGACGUGACGUACAGAUCCAUACACUGGAUUAAACCACGACGGAAAAGGGGAACUGUGGAGGUAAACCGCCUGACCCACGAAUUUCAUUUCAGAAUCCUAGAGCGAGAGUCGAGAGCCCCUGCCCUGUACCCUUCACACGUCUUCGUAUAUUGGCCAUUAAAAGGAUUAAGCGUGGCAGUGCCAGAGGUCAGACGCGGCCGUGUGCUAAGGACGUCCCUGCCCGAUUCCAACCCCAUCAAAACAUCAGGUUUUCAUGGACUAUCAGCCCCUCACAAAUGUUUUCUUCACUUUUCUGAAAAGCAAAUCAGCUUCGUAGAUCGUUCAAAUCAUCCCCGGAUUCGGAAAGGUCACCGUGAGACGCCCACCGUGGGAACGCGGCGACCCGCCCACAGGCAGUUUCCUUCCUCAUUAA